GAUGAACGCUGGCGGCGUGCUUAACACAUGCAAGUCGAGCGAAGCGCUUAAGAAUGAUUCUUCGGAUGAAUUCUUUUGCGACUGAGCGGCGGACGGGUGAGUAACGCGUGGAUAACCUGCCUCAUACAGGGGGAUAACAGUUAGAAAUGACUGCUAAUACCGCAUAAGCGCACAGUGCCGCAUGGCACCGUGUGAAAAACUCCGGUGGUAUGGGAUGGAUCCGCGUUGGAUUAGGCAGUUGGCGGGGUAACGGCCCACCAAACCGCCGAUCCAUAGCCGGCCGGAGAGGGUGGACGGCCACAUUGGGACUGAGACACGGCCAAGACUCCUACGGGAGGCAGCAGUGGGGAAUAUUGCACAAUGGGGGAAACCCUGAUGCAGCGACGCCGCGUGAGUGAAGAAGUAAUUCGUUAUGUAAAGCUCUAUCAGCAGGGAAGAAAAUGACGGUACCUGACUAAGAAGCCCCGGCUAACUACGUGCCAGCAGCCGCCGUAACAC
rnacentral:rRNA from 1 species